rnacentral:rRNA from 1 species
GCUAGCGACAGGCUUAACACAUGCAAGUCGAGGGCAGCAUAAAAGUAGCAAUACUUGGUGGCGACCGGCGCAUGGGUGAGUAACGCGUAUGCAACCUACCUAUCAGAGGGGAAUAACCCGGCGAAAGUCGGACUAAUACCGCAUAAAACAGGGGCACCGCAUGGUGAUAUUUGUUAAAGAAAUUCGCUGAUAGAUGGGCAUGCGUUCCAUUAGGUAGUUGGUGAGGUAACGGCUCACCAAGCCGACGAUGGAUAGGGGAACUGAGAGGUUGGUCCCCCACACUGGUACUGAGACACGGACCAGACUCCUACGGGAGGCAGCAGUGAGGAAUAUUGGUCAAUGGGCGGGAGCCUGAACCAGCCAAGUCGCGUGAAGGAAAAGAAGGAUCUAUGGUUCGUAAACUUCUUUUGCAGGGGAAUAAAGUGCAGGACGUGUCCUGUUUUGUAUGUACCCUGAGAAUAAGGAUCGGCUAACUCCGUGCCAGCAGCAGC